rnacentral:lncRNA from 1 species
GACGACCUGUAGUGGCGACUAGCAAUCGCUUGUUGGCAAAUUUUCAGCUGUAACAUAAAAAAUCGCUGCCGAAGCUUUGAGGGCAGUUCCCGUGUUCCUCGAUCUGGAAAACUUGGAACUGUUGUUAAAGGUUGUAAUGCAAAGUACAAUAUCUUCAUGAGAUUGCUGUAGGAGGGACAUUGAACAAAUACAUGUGAUGGGAAUAGCAGAUCGAGGAGCCAUUUUGACCGAUUGCAAUGGAUUUAGGCACCGUGGAAGACGCUGGUGUGGUGCCGCCAUGUGGGGAUAUAGGUUGGCGGGAAAUGUGAUGAACAAGUAUACCAUUCCUGAAUGACAGUGAUGUGGAAUGUAUUAGCUCUAACUGAUGGUUCUUUGACGAUACACGGAUGCUGUUUUGCUCUGGGAAGAUUCUUAAUUUGCACAUUUUUUUUUUCUAGUCAUGUCCGAGCCGACCGGUCACGAAAGGCCUGGCUUGGUGCACGGCAUGGCCUACUCAUCGUGGCUGCUGCGGCGUCGCGAUUCUGGCUGAAUAAUGAGUAUCAAGGGCUUCCACAGUACUGCAAGCAAGGAGGGAGUUUUCCCCAUCGCAAUGCUACAAUUGUGUCAACAGUAUUUUGGAACUUCUGCCAAUAGCCUGCAGUCUUGGAGGCUUAUAGAAGACACAAACACUGAGCUUCUGGUGCUGUCAAAUUGCAGCAACUGGUAAGGGCAUAUGCUUUCUUUAGUAUGCUAUCCAAUUGUGAUGACUUAUUUGCUACUGCUGAACUUAAUGUGGAAAAUGUUGUGCUGAUCCUGUGCCCUAAUGUUUUUUCUGUAUGCUUACUGCAUUAACUGAUACCAGCCAUCUUUGCAGAUGUUCGGAAUGGACUUCAUCCUGUUCCACACUGAUGCAUGGUACACAUCUCAAACCUGGAGGCUCUGCAAGUCUGGGUGAGUGCUUUUGCACAGUGCAAUUUCGUCUUGGCUUUCACUGAUGAUUACCCUCCAAUACUUAUGUUUAUGAGGACCUUCACCAAGAUCUCUGAGAUGCCCUUAGGCUUGCUUAAUUGGCUUGCCCUUUUCUUUGUUAUUCAGAUUUACUUUUUCAUUUUAGGUUGAUGUGCAAGCAGUAGAGUCCUGCCACAUUCAUUGGUAAGUUUAUAGUAUGGAGGUUUGCAGUGAUUCAUUUAGGGUUUCAGUUGGAGUGGUGCAAAAGAUGGGGACUGCCCUCCCUUCUGCAGUGUUUCAAAUUAAAGGGACACUUCAAAUCGCAAUGCAUACAUUUCCUUAAAAUUUGUUCCAUUUGGUGGAAAAUUCAUGAAAGAUAAAAGCGAGUUUAAAUUAUUCAAUACCGUGCUAGAACUAGUACAGUGGGCUCAAGUGACAAACUUUCUGGGUUGAGUGGUUCCUUUCUAACACUGUUAGAUCCACUGUUACGUCUGGUGUCGUGGCUAGCCGGUGCAGGAACAGUUUGGCAUUGCCUCCCAUCUAUUGUGUACUAGCCUGCCCAGUUUGUUGGUGACCACAAUACAAUUGCUGUGUAAAUUACUAAUUCAACAAAUGUGUCCCUUUAAGGGUAAUUUUUGUCUCAUGGUGUUCACAUGAUGUUGCUUGAGUAUUUGCUACACUGAGAGAGCAAUGUGGAGAAAUGUUUUUCUGAUCAAAUUUGUGGCGCAUAUUUUUGGCAUUUCUGGUUUUAUUUUCCUUUGACAUUACUACUUAAUUUCCAGGUGCCUCCUGGACACAUGCAUUUAGGAAAGGUAAGGAGGAUUCCGGACAUCGUGCUCGUCUAUGAAUUGAAUAAAAUAUGUAGCAACGUUGCAACUGAACUGUCAU